GCUAAGUGUACCCAGCCUAACGUACACAUAACAACAUAGCUCAAUUAUAACCACACGAUCAGAAUCACUUAAUUUAAUCUAAUCCAGAGCCAAAAACGCGCUUAGCAAUUUACCUGGGCGGACGAAAACUCUGCCGUACCAAACGUUCCGCGCGCCCCGCGUCGACCCCGGUACAUCGUUUCCUAAUCCAAGGAAAGGAAAACACAAUCCGAUAUCGAAAGAUCCCUGAAUGCAGGUGAGCGACGCGGUCAACACGGGGAGGCGGCGGCAUCUCGAGGGAACGGUGAUGGCCAAGUUGUGGGCUCCGGCGGGGCUGCUGUGGAUCUGGCGGAUGGCAGCAGGAUCGGGUCGACGACGGACGGCUCCGGCGAGAGUCGGAGGGACGACGGCGGCGGCUGAGCUCCUCCAUGGCCUGCUGCGGUUCCAGGGAGAACAGAAGGAAGGGAGGGGAGGAAGGGCACGGCCAGCAGGCUCUCACCUCUCUUACCUCCAUGCCGCCGUCGACACGACCCCCGAGCCUAGACCACGACCCAUGCGACGGGACCCCGCUGAUGCCGGCGGCGGUGCCGGGUUCCAUGAUCUAUUCGACUUCAUGUGUCGAAUCAUCAAGUCCGCACCAGCACUCCACCGGGCCCCUCAGUGGGAUCGGCGUCCGUAUCAGCUCCUGCCUCUGCAAGUCAAGGGGUAGGCUGCUCGAUCGCAUCUCCAAGAGUCCCUCGCCGCCACAACGCCUGCAGUCGCGGACGGCCGUACCUGUCGACGGGAGCGGCUGAGCAGGGGACAUCCCGCCGAUCCGAUGGCGGAAGGGCGAGAUAAUGGGCAAGUCUACCUCGGGUUGAAUCUGGACACCAGCGAGCUCCUUGCAGUAAACCAGUUGGGCGCUCCUUCGAAACAAGAUUAUCGUGUCCAGGUAUACAGUCCGCCACAAAACUCUCCCGUGCAGUGGGCGUACAGAAGGUACCUUCCUCUCCUGAUUUUGUAUAUGGCAGUGUAGUACUAUGUGGUUAACUGAAAACGAAGAGUAAGCAAAUUAGUUCCUGUCAGAACAACUGUAGCCGGCAUCGCCGCCGUCGCUUAUGGAGCUCCACACCAUUCCCCAAUUGUACGAGAGCAUGUUCAAUCUUCGCCAUUCUAUACUAUGUGCAAAUGGUCAACUCUUUUCCAAACAAGAAGAUAUGAGGAUUAGGCAUAUAUGCCCCAUAAGGUAGCUAUAUUCAUGUGUUGUAGUGUGGAUUAUGGUCACGCUCUGUCUUGGACUGCAGAUAGCUAGGUUAACAAAAAUGGAUACUCUGCAUAUUUUCUGAAUUUUUAGUAAGGUCUACAUGAAUAAGGUUAGCAGUAGUUCUGACUUGGGGCACUGGUUAAUUCUUCACAUGCAGGAACGUGGAGAGAUGGUGGGCUCCAAGCCCAUGGUGAUUUUAUUGUGCUUGCAGCUUGAGAUGUACUUGGUCCAAAUGAAAAUCAUCAUUUUGAAGGGCAACUUCGCAUGGAAUUAGGAUCACUUAAUAAGGUUCUGGUUUCUUUUUCAAAUUCACUUGCUUUAUGCAUGAACCUAUUAUAGAUUUGUUGGUGUUGAUUUGCAGUAAGAGCAAAUGUAAUAUUGUUCUCAUCAAUUUCUUUCAUAGCAUGUGUAAUGCGUUAUAACAUCAGUUUCAUUGGAUUGGAAAAGGUGAUAAACAUGCAACCAUUCUUACUCGAUGAUAUGAAUACUUCAGGAGCAAUGGUGGCAUUUGUUUGCACAUUAGUAUUCCAUUAUGUAGUAAAGGAUAUGGUCUGGUAGUCAUUCUUUAUCGUUAUAGUUAUUGUCAAAUGGUGGAAUAUUGCUGCCUAGCAGCUCUGGUUCAUGCGUGUGUGAAAAACAA